rnacentral:rRNA from 1 species
AGAGUUUGAUCCUGGCUCAGGAUGAACGCUGGCGGCGUGCCUAAUGCAUGCAAGUCGAACGGUCCUGUUGGCUUCGGCCUUCAGGGUAGUGGCGAACGGCUGAGUAACACAAAGGUAACCUGCCCUAAAGUGGGGAACAACUCCGAGAAAUCGGAGCUAAUACCGCAUGACGUCUUCAUAUGCUUUGUGAAGACGAAAGGCUUCGGCCGCUAAAGGAGGGGCCUUUGGCCUAUCAGGUAGUUGGUGGGGUAACGGCCUACCAAGCCGAAGACGGGUAGCUGGUCUGAGAGGAUGAUCAGCCAGACGGGGAAUGAGAGACGGCCCUGACUCCUACGGGAGGCAGCAGCAGGGGAUAUUGCGCAAUGGGCGAAAGCCUGACGCAGCGACGCCGCGUGGGGGAAGAAGGCCUUCGGGUUGUGAACCCCUUUUCUUGGUGAAGAGAAAGGACGGUAACCAAGGAAUAAGCCUCGGCUAAAUACGUGCCAGCAGCCGCGGUAAUACGUAUGAGGCGAGCGUUAUCCGGAAUUACUGGGCGUAAAAGGGCGUGUAGGCGGCCUUUUAAGUUGGCGGUGAAAGCUCCCGGCUCAACCGGGAGAGGUCUGCCAAUACUGAAGGGCUAGAGGACAGCAGAGGAAGGUGGAACUCCCGGUGUAGCGGUGACAUGCGUAGAUAUCGGGAGGAACACCAGUGGCGAAGGCGGCCUUCAGGGCUGUGCCUGACGCUGAGGCGCGAAAGCGUGGGGAGCGAAGCGGAUUAGAUACCCGCGUAGUCCACGCCGUAAACGGUGGAUACUAGGUAUAGGGAGUAUCGACCCUCUCUGUGCCGAAGCUAACGCUUUAAGUAUCCCGCCUGGGAACUACGGUCGCAAGACUAAAACUCAAAGGAAUUGACGGGGGCCCGCACAAGCAGCGGAGCGUGUGGUUUAAUUCGAUGCUACGCGAAGAACCUUACCAAGGCUUGACAUGCCGGUAGUAGGAGCCCGAAAGGGUGACGACCUGCCUUCGGGCAGGAGCCAGCACAGGUGCUACAUGGCUGUCGUCAGCUCGUGCCGUGAGGUGUUGGGUUAAGUCCUAUAACGAGCGCAACCCUUGCCCUGUGUUGUUUUCUCACAGGGGACUGCUCAGGGAAUCUGAGAGGAAGGUGAGGAUGACGUCAAGUCAGCAUGGCCCUUAUGCCUUGGGCGACACACACGCUACAAUGGGUGGUACAAAGAGUUGCCAAGGAGCGAUCCGGAGCUAAUCUCAAAAAGCCAUCCUCAGUUCGGAUUGCAGGCUGAAACUCGCCUGCAUGAAGUUGGAGUUGCUAGUAACCGCAGGUCAGCACACUGCGGUGAAUACGUUCUCGGGCCUUGUACACACCGCCCGUCACGUCAUGAAAGUUGGUAAUACCUGAAGUCGAUGCGCCAACUCGUAAGAGAGGCAGUCGCCGAGGGUGGGACCAGUGAUUGGGACGAAGUCGUAACAAGGUAACC